CCCACCUGAGCCACUUCCUUUUAUUUUUUUCUUCGCUAUCCAUGCCUCUCCUUGUCCAAGCAUGGGAUAGUGGAAACGGUCACCUUACUCCUCUGCUGCUUUAGCUCAAUGUUUUUCUUUCUCAUUCACUACUGUUCUCACACAUACUUUUUGCUCUUCUCUUGCAUUAUUUUGUUCUUUAUUUUCCUAGUUUUCCAGUUGAGAGGCUCUCUUUCACAAUCUUGUGCCACUUUAUAUACCCCUUUAUAUACUACUUCUUUUUAACCUCACUAUUCUGGCAACCUUGUUUUUGGGUACACAUUUUCACUAAUGUUUUUGCUCUAAACGCUGCAUAUACUCCAACAGACACACUGACA